ensembl:lncRNA
AACAUAAAAGCAAAGAGUUUACACAAUCAUAAAACAUAAACAAAUUUAAAAUAGCAGAGUGGAGAGGUUAUGUGGGAUAAGCUAUUUUGAACAAGUGGGUUUUGAGUUGGGACUUAAAGAGAGAGAAGGUAGAGAUAUUUCUUAAAUCAGGAGGUAGGGAAUUCCAGAGUCGAGGAGCAGAGCAGCUGAAAGCCCUGCUCCCCAUGGUGACAAGACGGGGGGAGGGGACGGAGAUGAUUGAUUCAAAAUUUCAAGACUGUUCAUUCUUUUGGACAAGUGGACCCUGCUGAAUGGAAAGCUCCAGCGUGCUGUGUAUACCAUAUACAUAGAAAAUGUAAUAGGAGGGCAGAAGGUGCAUGAAGCAGGAAGUUAAAGGAGUGUUUUUAUAGUGUUUUAUGUUAACUGAUAACCACAUAUUCCAGUAAAGUGUUCCAGACAAAUACUACUCCGAUGAAAACAAAGGUGAAAGGGCAGCUCACACAUACCCUGUAAUAUGAUUGAGGUGAUAUCAAGAGUAUAUAAAAGCAUUUAUAGCAUGUCCUCUCAUUAUGCUUUCAUUCUUCACCCGCACAGCAGCUCUUGCUCAGUUGAUCUAACAGGUAAUGUCAUUAACAUUGUUCGGUAAGGCUGAAUUAACCUUGUGUACCCACAGUUUUCUAUUUCCUUUUUGUCUCAAGCUGUUGUCAUUUUAAGAGCGAUGGCAGCAGCAGACUUAUCAAGAACCACAGAACCAGCCAGAACUACCAAAGGCUUGUUUCUCAUCUGCUCUCUGCUGUGUCUUGCUUAUGUCACAAGUUCGCUGAAGACCAAGGAUCAAUUGGAAAAAAUGAAAACUGCAUUAGAAGAGGCUGAAAGACAGAAGGCAGAAGAUAAGUACAGAAAUGCAACCAUCACAAAACUAUUUGAUCUUGCAAGUUCACUAACUAACAAGGACCAGAUGGUAAUUUCAUAUUUUCUUAACCUUUUAUUUUGAUGUUAAACAAUUACAAAUGCAUUUCUAUCAUUAACUCCAGUAUUUAUAUCAUGACAACCUCAUUCACUACUGGAUCUUCCUACAUUUGCAGUUGUUUUCACUGAGUGCAUAAUCCUUAUGGUUUGUUCCCUACGGGGAAAUUUCAGGAAAUAUUCAAGGAAACCCUUCAAACAGCGACAGAAGAGGAAGAGAGACUGAAGGUGGGUCAGUCAGUCUCCAGUUUAUUCCCAGAAAGUCCAUAAUAUGAAAUGCUAUAUGUGAAAAGUUUUAUUUUUCUCCUUUAGGAAGAAUCCAAGUACAAAAUGAGAAUCGCCUCAAAACAAUACAAUGAAAAAAUAAAGGAAAUUAUUCCUCAAUUGGUAGAAGCAAUGAUAUUAUCAUAUGAUUCUCCACCACUGCAGGAAAUGGUUGACAUUGUAUUUCACAUGUUGGAAAAAACCAAAACUUACUUAGACAAAAAGCUGGAUUUGCUGCAAGAAUAGAGAACUGAGAAAAGAUAAGUGAAAGGAGUAAAUGAUGUGCUUAAGAAAAUUGUAAGAGAAACAAUAAAUUGAACUUGUGUUUCUGUUUUCGUUUGUUGACCUAUGUAACGUAUAUCAUGUAUUUGUGAAAGGACAUAAUCUGAAUUGUUUUUGUGACUUUCUCAAUUGUAUACUUCUUAGCUGCAUAACAUCUUGUCCUGUAAUGGUCUCUGAGUGGUAUUAUGAAGUGAAAAGCUUUACUCCUGGUGUGAGGCCUAAGCAAGAGCACAGUUGAGCUCUUCAGUCUUGAUGCUAUAAUGACUGCAGUAGUGAAACCUGGAUCCUUGUGUAGGCAGCACAACUUGUCAGUUUGUUGCAGUUAUUUAAGUUCCAGUGUUGCAGUUGUUUAGGCUGUGUUUAACUUCUUUAUCACAAAGAGAUCAGAAAAAGGCAGACCUGCAUAGCGUAUGAUCAGUUCUGCAGAAUAAUUUAAACACAUAAACAUGUAUAGUACAGUGUGUGUGUCAAUGUUUUAAUUUACUUCUUUAUUUAGAAGAUUUAUUCUGAUUAGAAAAAUUGUGCUACAAUGUAUACCAUUGCAAAUAACAUGUAUUAAGUUAGGUAAUAAAAACUCUUGGUGAUUUAUAUCAAUAAAGGAUUUGUAACUGUGCAAACUGUGACAUUUAUG